GGCAAAGUACUUCACUUAAUGGGUGUGAGAAAAAACUUUUGUUUUCAUUCUGCACAUUAUCCAUGUUUAAUUUUUGAAUUGUAUUUCUAUAAACUUGAUCAACAUUGCAUAAAGAAACUUGAUCAAUCGUAGAGUGUAGCCAAUAAAUCAGGGGUAUUAUACAUAGGUACACCUUUCAGUUAUAUCCAUCGGGAUUGAUUGGAUCCCUACACAUAAGUCUAUCCUGUCAUACAUAGGCGAGCCGUCCGCGCAUCACCCGCCUGUGAACAGGCGCCGCACACUGUGCGGAUGUCGUUUGCUCACUAGGCCUGUGCAAAUAGGCCCUGUGCACCUUGGGCCUACAUGCAGUAGGCCUGCGCGCAUAGGCGGGAGGAGACUUAUGCGCUGAGGCUAGCCUGCAGCGCACCAGCCGGAGCAUUGCC
rnacentral:lncRNA from 1 species